CCAGUCUAGACUUUGUGAUCCUCUAAAGAUACGAUCCCCUCAACAUUCCUCUUCCUGCAUGUAUUCUCCUUGAUCUAGAGCUUCAUACCUGCAAACAGCCAUUACAUGUGCUGCGGCCUUUCUUUCUGCUAUACUUUCUAUAAUACUCUGCAUAGACCUAAUUACCAAAGGAAUCAGACAUGGCAGAAGGAGACACAACAUCAAAAUCAGUAUGACUCCACCUACCAAUGUCUUGAUACCUCCAAACUGCUCAUACCAGCUACCAAACCAACUACUCGGAUUAUACCCUUUUUCCAUACCUGAGUAGGUACAUGUGCUAGCUUAACCAUAUGGCUAGUAAGCUCAGCUAUUGCUUGCCCUUCAUCAUCUAUUUGAAGACAACAAUUGCUUAGAUUAAACUUCCCACAUCCACCUCCCUCUACUGCCAAUAGGUAAUCCAAAGCUAAUCUAUUCUGGUAGAUGGCUGUCCUCGUCCUAGUGUUAUGCUUCGCUAGGAGAUUGAGCGCUUGUGAUGUUUCAUUGGUAACUAUCUCAACUACUGCUUGCAAUCUUAUAAUACGAUUAAGCAUAUAUAUUGGGGUUCUGUAUCCAUAAGUACCAUCCUCUGCCCACGUAGC